rnacentral:rRNA from 1 species
AUUGAACGCUGGCGGCAGGCCUAACACAUGCAAGUCGAGCGAGGGACGGACGGGGGAGUAAUGUAUGGGGACUGCCCGAUAGCGGGGGAUCAACACUGGAAACCGCUGGUAAUACCGCAUACUAUCGGAUUCCGCUUAUGGGAUUAGCUAGUGGGUGAGGUAAUGGCUCACCUAGGCGACGAUCCCUAGCUGGUCUGAGAGGUUGAUCUGCCACACUGGGACUGAGACACGGCCCAGACUCCUACGGAGGCAGCAGUGGGGAAUAUUGCACAAUGGGCGCAAGCCUGAUGCAGCCAUGCCGCGUGUGUGAAGAAGGCCCUAGGGUUGUAAAGUACUUUCAGUCGGGAGGCGUUACCGACAGAAGAAGCACCGGCUAACUCCGUGCCAGCAGCCGCGGUAAUUC